rnacentral:rRNA from 1 species
CCCGGCUCAGAAUCAACGCUGGCGGCGCGCCUAACACAUGCAAGUCGAACGAGAAAGUGGAGCAAUCCAUGAGUACAGUGGCGUACGGGUGAGUAACACGUGGGUGAUCUACCUCUUAGUGAGGAAUAACCCUGGGAAACCGGGGCUAAUACCGCAUAAGCCUGAGAAGGGAAAGCAGCAAUGCGCUGAGAGAGGAGCCCGCGGCCGAUUAGCUAGUUGGUGAGGUAAGAGCCCACCAAGGCAGAGAUCGGUAGCCGGCCUGAGAGGGCACACGGCCACACUGGCACUGAAACACGGGCCAGACUCCUACGGGAGGCAGCAGUGGGGAAUCUUGCACAAUGGGGGAAACCCUGAUGCAGCGACGCCGCGUGAGCGAUGAAGCCCUUCGGGGUGUAAAGCUCUUUCGUCAGGGAAGAUUAUGACGGUACCUGGAGAAGCAGCUGCGGCUAACUACGUGCCAGCAGCCGCGGUAAUACGUAGGCAGCAAGCGUUGUUCGGAGUUACUGGGCGUAAAGGGUGUGUAGGCGGUUCUUUAAGUUUGGUGUGAAAUCUCCCGGCUCAACCGGGAGGGUGCGCCGAAUACUGAGGGACUAGAGUGUGGGAGAGGAAAGUGGAAUUCCUGGUGUAGCGGUGAAAUGCGUAGAUAUCAGGAGGAACACCGGUGGUGUAGACGGCUUUCUGGACCAUAACUGACGCUGAGACACGAAAGCGUGGGUAGCAAACAGGAUUAGAUACCCUGGUAGUCCACGCCCUAAACGAUGCAUAUUUGGUGUGGGUCAUUCAGUUGAUCCGUGCCGGAGCUAACGCGUUAAAUAUGCCGCCUGGGGAGUACAGUCGCAAGGCUGAAACUCAAAGGAAUUGACGGG